rfam:Synergistes jonesii strain 78-1 contig_37, whole genome shotgun sequence.
GGAACCUGCACUCGUUGCGGCGCAACGAUGGUAAAGGC